rnacentral:rRNA from 1 species
UACGUAGGGGGCAAGCGUUGUCCGGAUUUAUUGGGCGUAAAGGGCGCGUAGGCGGACUGAUAAGUCAGAUGUGAAAUCCCGGGGCUCAACCUCGGAACAGCAUUUGAAACUAUCGAUCUUGAGGGUAGGCGGAGAAAACAGAAUUCCACAAGUAGCGGUGAAAUGCGUAGAUAUGUGGAAGAAUACCGGUGGCGAAGGCGGUUUUCUAGCUUACUCCUGACGCUGAGGCGCGAAAGCAAGGGGAUCAAACAGG